rnacentral:rRNA from 1 species
CAGGACGAACGCUGGCGGCAUGCUUCAUACAUGCAAGUCGAACGAUAAGGUCUCUUCGGAGAUACAUAAGUGGCGGACGGGUGAGUAAUAUGUAGGAAAUCUGCCCUAGAGAGGGGGACAACAGAGGGAAACUUCUGCUAAUACCCCAUAUGAGCGUACCUGAAAUGGUAUUCUUGAAAACUCCGGUGCUCUAGGAUGAGCCUGCAUCUGAUUAGCUUGUUGGCGGUGCAAUGGACCACCAAGGCGACGAUCAGUAGCUGGUUUGAGAGGAUGAUCAGCCACAAUGGGACUGAGACACGGCCCAUACUCCUACGGGAGGCAGCAGUAGGGAAUUUUGCGCAAUGGGCGAAAGCCUGACGCAGCAAUGCCGCGUGAACGUAGAAGCCCUUCGGGGUGUAAAGUUCUGUCAGUGGGGACGAAUAAUGACGGUACCCACAGAGGAAGCACCGGCUAACUCCGUGCCAGCCGCCGC